GCAAAUAUUGAGAAAUUUAAGUGCCAAAACGAUAGAUUUCUUAUUAGAGAAGAGAUUUUUAAAAAUAAAAAUAAAAAAUGAUGAGAAAGUAGAGAGGAGAGAUCGGUCAAUGAUGCGUGGGGCUGAACGCGACGUCACCUGGGGCUCGGGAAUGAAAUCCCAAUCCGAGCUUUGAGGCCGGAAUCAAGUUGAAAGCUAUUGGUCCAUUUCCAUUCCAGUCUGGAAUAAAAAAAUCGAAUUUCGUUCCUGCAAGUCAAACAGAAUUAGUCAGAUUUAACCAAACUGAUUGUUGGCUUAAAUGGGCCAGCAUCCUGCCCUGUGGCGGAAGGCCAUGUGGGCCGAGUCAUGUUCGAAAUGGCGUGAGGCUGGGUUGGGCCGAGUCAUCUUCGAAGUGGCGUGAGGCCAGGUGGGCCAAGUCACAAUCGAGACCCGUGGGCGCUAUUUCUAUACGCUUUAAGUGAAUUGGUUGCGUAUUUCUAACAGCUUGAACUUUUGGGAUUAAUGGUUAGCACCAACGAUCCGACAAGUGGUAUCAGAGCCAGAGGUCACAGAUUCGAUUCCUGCAUGUUGCAAAUAUGUGCAGGUGCUGGAGGGGGGAUUGUUGGCUUAAAUGGGCCAGCAUCCUGCCCUGUGGCGGGAGGCCAUGUGGGCCGAGUCAUGUUCGAAAUAGCGUGAGGCUUGGUUUGGCCGAGUGAUGUUCAGAAGUGGCGUGAGGCCAGGUGGGCCGAGUCACAAUCGAGACCCGUGGGCGCUGUUUCUGUACACUUUAAGUGAAUUGGUUGCGUAUUUCUAACAGCUCGAGCUUUUGGGAUGGUUAGCGCCAACGAUCCGACACUGAUUUCCAUUUAGGGUCCAAAAUGGACGAACCAAACAUGCCUUUAGAAUAGUGGAUUUGUACUAAAAUUGAAAUUUUAGAAAAUUGUAAUAUUGAAAGGAAAAUUCUUAAAAUUAGGACAUUUAUUGCGGAAUGGUUUUUAAGUCUGUUUCAAUGCUUGAAUAUGUCGCUUCAAAGUUCAAACAUCUCUUUUAUUUGACAAACAAGGUGCAUAAUCAAUUAUCAAAAAAGAUACUAUAUUCACUCUCCAAGAUAUUUUCUGAAAAUAUGAUAAAUCAUUUCGUAGAAAAAAUAUGCUAUUCUAUCAAAUCACAGCUAUUAAAUUUUUUUAAU
rnacentral:lncRNA from 1 species